rnacentral:rRNA from 1 species
UACAGAGGUGGCAAGCGUUGUUCGGAAUUACUGGGCGUAAAGGGCGCGUAGGCGGCCUUCUAAGUCCCGUGUGAAAGCCCUCGGCUUAACCGAGGAACUGCACGAGAAACUGGAAGGCUUGAGUUCGGGAGAGGGAAGCGGAAUUCCGGGUGUAGCGGUGAAAUGCGUAGAUAUCCGGAGGAACACCGGUGGCGAAGGCGGCUCCUGGACCGACACUGACGCUGAGGCGCGAAAGCUAGGGGAGCAAACGGGAUAGAAACC